AAACAAAAAAACCAAACCAACCAACCAAACAAAAACCCUUAUUAAAGUAGGUUUUGAAAAAUCUAAGCCUAUAAGAGUCCUCCAUGAUCCCUGCCUUAUUUACUUAGCUGUGAUGCUCAUUCUUUGGAUGGAGGUAAUCCUGUGUGAAAUAUCAAACAGAUCUUUCCCCAAGCUUCUGCCUUGAGUAUCUGCCUUGAUGUCCCUCAAUGAUAGAUUGUGAGCUGGGUUGUAAGUAAAUAAAUUCUUCCCUCCCCUAAGUUGCAUUUGAUUAGUCAGGAUGCUUUAUCACAUCAGUAGAGCUAAAGCUAGAACACCUGAUGUGAAAUUAGAAAGGUUGUUGAUGAAUUUGAUGAAUACCCAAGGACUCUCCUGGAAACCCCACGUUAUAACCAGUGAAGGAAAACAAGUUUGAAGCCAUCAGGAAGGAUUGUGUUCCAUUUAAGUCUCCUAAUGGGUACUCUUCAGUCUUCCCUCAAUUUUUAUGAAACCAGUCAAGUUAUAUUAUUUUAUUUUUAUGAUAUUUUUGAUGAAUGGUUAUGAAGAAUACAUGAGAAAUAUUACUCCUUAAAGAAAAUGUUGCCAAUCAUUGAGUAUGCUAGUAUUGACUAUUUAGAACAUAUAUAUUAAUUUGAGUGACAUGAAUUGUCCAUUUUCACUAACGGACCGUGACUCAAAUCUCCCUCUCAUGUCCAAUUCUUUGUUCUUGCCGUUUGUUUCUGUUUUUGCUUUUAUUCUCCUUUUCAUCCUAAUGCAGAGUUUCACUAUAUAGACUGUGCUAAACUUGAAGUCUCAGUCCUCCUCCCUCUGCCUCCUGCAUGCUGGAAUUGCAGGUGUGUUCCUGCUUACUGGGAUUUCAUACCUAGUUCUUGAUGAUCACUUUAAAAAUAUCAGAUGGUUUGGCUUUAACCUGUGAAUAUCUUUAAAUCUUUCCCCAUUUACCUUUUGAAUCACAAAAGUUAGCUGCUUUAUCUUUUUUCCCCUGACUGCUUUCAUGCUAUGAUAAUUUGAAUCAUUGAAAAAGAAUUUCCCUUCAUAAACCUCAACCCACUUCAUCAUGCCUUAUUGAGUUUAACUAUAGUGCUUUAAGAUUGAGGGAAAAAAAUGCCUUGUGGAUUGGGAAGUUCGACAAGAAAUUUUCAGAUUUACUUGUUCUUAGACCUUAAUGCUUCUAUACUCAUAUAAAUUGCAACUUAGUGUGCAGUGCGGUUAUUUCACUAACACCAUUUUCUGAUUGUGUUUAUUCAAAAUUUAGAAGGCAAGUUUCCUUUGUCCCAUUAUGUUAGGUCCUUAAACAAGUGUUUUUCUGCCAUUCCUAGAACAUUUGUCUGUAUCUUAUAUCUUAUUUCUUCUGUCCUCUCCUCCCACUAAUAGAAAAUAAAAGCUCAAAAUGUUUUCUUCAUAACAAGAAAUAUGUUUCCUCUUUGAUACUAAUGGAAACGACAAAUGUGGAUAAUAUUUAAAGACAGCCCAAAUGACUAUGUGCCUUAUCACUGAUUUAACUUGGCUUUCAUGAUUUUUUUCCCUCACCACCAAAUCAGCACAGCUUCCACAAUAUAAAACAACAAAAAUGUCAUAAAAAUACUUAAAUUGUCACUGCCCUUUGCUGCUUUCUCAUUCUGCUUUCCUUAAGGUAGCUCACAGUUCAGGAUCUGUUGACUCCCAAGCGGUGAACAUAACUGUCACUUCUAGUCUCUUUGAUUAUGAUCCUUAGCCUUUAAUGGCUGAGCCAUCUCUACAGCCCACAGCUAUGCUUUCUAAACGACAAAGUUUUAGGGACAGAAUCUCUUUGUCAUCUAUCCCUGCCCCUAUGCCUCACCCAAUCUUUCUUUUUGUGUUCACUAAAGUUCAGUUUUCAUCUCAGUCUACCCUGACACACCCUGACUUCUUGUUCCUUUGUUUUCCCCGAUAGUUUUGCUUAUUCUAUAUAUAUAUAUAUACCCUUCUCUUGGGCAAAAGCUUUUCCCCUUACCUAAGAAUUUCACAUUGACUUCAGUAGUUAUGUAAACACUUGCAUCUGCCGAUUCUGCAUUGUUCCAUCUCCAACCUCAGCAGCUUCUUAACCAUCACUGCCUUGCCUAACCUUUCUUAAGUAGCAAAAUCACUCCCAGGUUUCUUUGUAUUUAUUUUGGAACCACCUCCGCUCCCCCAAGACCCAUGAGAGGUAAAGGAAUGGAAGUGCAUCUUGGAACAGGGAACAGGAUGCCAAGAGGAGACAUCAGAGGGGAGAGGAAGAGAUCAUGCCUGGAGGGCUGGAAGAGGAAGAUUAACACAGUGUUGGAGAAUUUGCUUCUUCUGAGCCUGAUACUAGGAAUGCUCUACUUCCAAAUGUUCCAAAGAGUGAGAGAAAAUAAGAAUAGCAUCUUACCUUUAAAGGGGCAUUGUG
rnacentral:lncRNA from 1 species